rnacentral:tRNA from 2 species
GGGCCCAUAGCUCAGCGGUUAGAGCAGCGGACUCAUAAUCCGUUGGUCCCAGGUUCGAAUCCUGGUGGGCCCACCA